UACGAAGGGGGCUAGCGUUGCUCGGAAUCACUGGGCGUAAAGGGUGCGUAGGCGGGUCUUUAAGUCAGGGGUGAAAUCCUGGAGCUCAACUCCAGAACUGCCUUUGAUACUGAAGAUCUUGAGUUCGGGAGAGGUGAGUGGAACUGCGAGUGUAGAGGUGAAAUUCGUAGAUAUUCGCAAGAACACCGGUGGCGAAGGCGGCGACCUGGUCCGAAACUGACGCUGAGGCGCGAAAGCGUGGGGAGCAAACAGG
rnacentral:rRNA from 1 species